rnacentral:lncRNA from 1 species
AUUCAGUUGGGACGCUUUUCGCUUCCCCAAUUACUUGAGCCUUGAUCAAGAGGAUCGCACCAUGCACACCACACCCAGGGGAGUACUCAGUUUCCUUUGUUCUUUUAUGUUUCUUAUACAUUGAGGACAAUGCAUGAUUUAGGUGUGGGGGUGCAUAUCUCUGAAUUUUUACUUUUAAGUUUAUUUUUGCUUUAAUCUUUAGUUUGCUUGCAU